rnacentral:rRNA from 1 species
GACAGAGGAGCCAAGCGUUGUCCGGAUUGACUGGGCGUAAAGCGCACGCAGGCGGCUUGGCGCGUGGGGUGUGAAAGGUAGCGGCUUAACUGCUACACGCCAUCCCAUACGGCCGAGCUCGAGCCAUGCAGAGGUCCACGGAAUUGCCGGUGUAGUGGUGAAAUGCGUAGAGAUCGGCAGGAACACCCAGGGGGAACCAGUGGACUGGGCAUUGGCUGACGCUCAGGUGCG